rnacentral:misc_RNA from 1 species
UAACGGGGGUAACUGCCUAUUCCUUGAGCGGCCCCGCUUUAAAUUCGUUGGCAACCGGCGCGGAGUCCCGAGCGUACCAGGACCUAACAGUCGGCGCUCUGUGGGCCACCGUGCUCCGUAUUCGCCCCGAAACGCCCCCCCAUACGCGGUAACACGCGAAAAUUGACCUCGGAUCAGGUAGGGAUACCCGCUGAACUUAA